CAGGCUUAACACAUGCAAGUCGAGGGGCAGCAUUUUAGUUUGCUUGCAAACUGAAGAUGGCGACCGGCGCACGGGUGAGUAACACGUAUCCAACCUGCCGAUAACUCCGGAAUAGCCUUUCGAAAGAAAGAUUAAUACCGGAUAGCAUACGAAUAUCGCAUGAUAUUUUUAUUAAAGAAUUUCGGUUAUCGAUGGGGAUGCGUUCCAUUAGUUUGUUGGCGGGGUAACGGCCCACCAAGACUACGAUGGAUAGGGGUUCUGAGAGGAAGGUCCCCCACAUUGGAACUGAGACACGGUCCAAACUCCUACGGGAGGCAGCAGUGAGGAAUAUUGGUCAAUGGGCGAGAGCCUGAACCAGCCAAGUAGCGUGAAGGAUGAAGGCUCUAUGGGUCGUAAACUUCUUUUAUAUGGGAAUAAAGUUUUCCACGUGUGGAAAUUUUGUAUGUACCAUAUGAAUAAGGAUCGGCUAACUCCGUGCCAGCAGCCGCGGUAAUACGGAAGAUCCGAGCGUUAUCCGGGAUUUAUUGGGUUUAAAGGGAGCGUAAGUGGAAUGGUUAAGUCAGUUGUGAAAGUUUGCCGCUCAACCGUAAAAUUGCAGUUGAAACUGGCAGUCUUGAGUACAGUAGAGGUGGGCGGAAUUCGUGGUGUAGCGGUGAAAUGCUUAGAUAUCACGAAGAACUCCGAUUGCGAAGGCAGCUCACUAGACUGUCACUGACACUGAUGCUCGAAAGUGUGGGUAUCAAACAGGAUUAGAUACCCUGGUAGUCCACACAGUAAACGAUGAAUACUCGCUGUUUGCGAUAUACAGUAAGCGGCCAAGCGAAAGCAUUAAGUAUUCCACCUGGGGAGUACGCCGGCAACGGUGAAACUCAAAGGAAUUGACGGGGGCCCGCACAAGCGGAGGAACAUGUGGUUUAAUUCGAUGAUACGCGAGGAACCUUACCCGGGCUUAAAUUGCAACAGAAUAUAUUGGAAACAGUAUAGCCGUAAGGCUGUUGUGAAGGUGCUGCAUGGUUGUCGUCAGCUCGUGCCGUGAGGUGUCGGCUUAAGUGCCAUAACGAGCGCAACCCUUAUCUUUAGUUACUAACAGGUCAUGCUGAGGACUCUAGAGAGACUGCCGUCGUAAGAUGUGAGGAAGGUGGGGAUGACGUCAAAUCAGCACGGCCCUUACGUCCGGGGCUACACACGUGUUACAAUGGGGGGUACAGAAGGCGGCUACCUGGUGACAGGAUGCUAAUCCCAAAAACCUCUCUCAGUUCGGAUCGAAGUCUGCAACCCGACUUCGUGAAGCUGGAUUCGCUAGUAAUCGCGCAUCAGCCAUGGCGCGGUGAAUACGUUCCCGGGCCUUGUACACACCGCCCGUCAAGCCAUGAAAGCCGGGGGUACCUGAAGUACGUAACCGCAAGGAGCGUCCUAGGGUAAAACUGGUAAUUGGGGCG
rnacentral:rRNA from 1 species